AACGCAACUGGCGCCGGUUUACCGGCAUGCCUGUUUCAGUGUGCUACGAGAGUAAACUAUCAUUAUGACAUAUAAUGCGAUUGAGGUACAUUUAUGUUCUUCUUUCGUUAAAUAUGAAGGUGUGAAAGAUGAGUAAUCUCUCACACUGGCAAACGUAGUAGUCAUGCUUGUUCUGGAUCUCGUUUAACCAGUGCUAAAGGUUAUUGCGUAGCUAUAAAUCACAUCUAAUCAAUUAAAUAUCUCCAAAUUCGACAUCUGAAAUCAGACAAGGAUACCCGCUGAACUUA
rnacentral:misc_RNA from 1 species